AUUAGACAGACAGUGACAGUGUAUAGAGGGAGAGAUCUGAUAUUAUCAUCAUUAUUAUUAGACAGACAGGUAGUGACAGUGUACAUCAGGGAGAGAUCUGAUAUUAUUAUCAUUAUACAGAGAGUGACAGUGUAUAGAGUGAGAGCUGGAUAUAAUAUAUUAUUAUUAUACAGAGAGUGACAGUGUAUAGAGUGAGAGCUGGAUAUAAUAUAUUAUUAUUAUACAGACAGUGACC